AGUGAACGCUGGCGGUAGGCCUAACACAUGCAAGUCGAACGGCAGCACAGGAGAGCUUGCUCUCUGGGUGGCGAGUGGCGGACGGGUGAGGAAUACAUCGGAAUCUACUCUGUCGUGGGGGAUAACGUAGGGAAACUUACGCUAAUACCGCAUACGACCUACGGGUGAAAGCAGGGGACCUUCGGGCCUUGCGCGAUUGAAUGAGCCGAUGUCGGAUUAGCUAGUUGGCGGGGUAAAGGCCCACCAAGGCGACGAUCCGUAGCUGGUCUGAGAGGAUGAGCAGCCAAAAUGGAGCUGAGACACGGUCCGGACUCCUACGGGAGGCAGCAGUGGGGAAUAUUGGACAAUGGGCGCAAGCCUGAUCCAGCCAUACCGCGUGGGUGAAGAAGGCCUUCGGGUUGUUAAGCCCUUUUGUUGGGAAAGAAAUCCAGCUGGCUAAUACCCGAUUGGGAUGACGGUACCCAAAGAAUAAGCACCGGCUAACUUCGUGCCAGCCGCCGCAGUAA
rnacentral:rRNA from 1 species